rnacentral:SRP_RNA from 1 species
GCCAGGUGUGGUGGCACACGCCUGUAGUCCCACCUACUCGGGAGGCUGAGAAAGAAGAAUUGCUUGAACCCAGGAGGCUGAGGUUGCAGUGAGGCGAGAUCGUGCCACUGCAUUCCAGCCUGGGUGACAGAGCAAGACUCCAUCUCUU